rnacentral:piRNA from 1 species
UUGGACCUGUCCAAGAUCGGUAAUAGC